rnacentral:rRNA from 1 species
AGAGUUUGAUCCUGGCUCAGGACGAACGCUGGCGGCGUGCCUAAUACAUGCAAGUAGAACGCUGAAGUCUGGUGCUUGCACUAGACGGAUGAGUUGCGAACGGGUGAGUAACGCGUAGGUAACCUGCCUCAUAGCGGGGGAUAACUAUUGGAAACGAUAGCUAAUACCGCAUAACAGUAUUUACCGCAUGGUAGAUGCUUGAAAGGAGCAAUUGCUUCACUAUGAGAUGGACCUGCGUUGUAUUAGCUAGUUGGUGAGGUAACGGCUCACCAAGGCAUCGAUACAUAGCCGACCUGAGAGGGUGAUCGGCCACACUGGGACUGAGACACGGCCCAGACUCCUACGGGAGGCAGCAGUAGGGAAUCUUCGGCAAUGGGGGCAACCCUGACCGAGCAACGCCGCGUGAGUGAAGAAGGUUUUCGGAUCGUAAAGCUCUGUUGUAAGAGAAGAACUGUGAGAAGAGUGGAAAGUUUCUCAUUUGACGGUAUCUUACCAGAAAGGGACGGCUAACUACGUGCCAGCAGCCGCGGUAAUACGUAGGUCCCGAGCGUUGUCCGGAUUUAUUGGGCGUAAAGCGAGCGCAGGCGGUUUGAUAAGUCUGAAGUAAAAGGCUGUGGCUUAACCAUAGUACGCUUUGGAAACUGUCAAACUUGAGUGCAGAAGGGGAGAGUGGAAUUCCAUGUGUAGCGGUGAAAUGCGUAGAUAUAUGGAGGAACACCGGUGGCGAAAGCGGCUCUCUGGUCUGUAACUGACGCUGAGGCUCGAAAGCGUGGGGAGCGAACAGGAUUAGAUACCCUGGUAGUCCACGCCGUAAACGAUGAGUGCUAGGUGUUGGGUCCUUUCCGGGACUCAGUGCCGCAGCUAACGCAUUAAGCACUCCGCCUGGGGAGUACGACCGCAAGGUUGAAACUCAAAGGAAUUGACGGGGGCCCGCACAAGCGGUGGAGCAUGUGGUUUAAUUCGAAGCAACGCGAAGAACCUUACCAGGUCUUGACAUCCC